CUCACUUAGAUCAUGCAUCACAUAGUCAUGUGCCUCCAACUAUCCAAACACUUCAUAACACUGCAUACACAAUUGUCUUACCUCUAUAUUACAAUGCAUUACCUGAUGAACAUAACCAACAAACUACUUCUAGACAGUUUCAACCAUCACCUCGCGAGUUCCUGAGUAGCUCUUCAAAUGUUCCAAACACCUGUCAACCUCUCUCUAGUAUCUCAACAACUAUAAUACCUCAUUCACCAACCGUAUUUGCUGCACCUAUUGGACAACACCAUGCCACACAACAUCACAUAAUUUUCAAUUCAUGUCUGAGUCUAUUUCACCAUCCUUUCACACUCAAAUCUCUCAAGCCCCACUUCUAGUUAAUGUUCACCCCAUGCUUACUAGAGCUAAGACUGGGAAAUCCAAACAAAAGACUUGCAUAGUUCAUGUUGAACAAACCACAACAAAUCACUCAUCCUAAAUGGUUCCAAGCAAUCAAAUCAAAAUAUGAGUCGCUUAUGGGUCCUAACUACUCUAC
rnacentral:lncRNA from 1 species